GGGGAUUUAGCUCAGUGGCAUAAGCACCUGCCUUACAAGCAGGCGGUCAUAGUUCAAUCUCUG
rfam:Cavia porcellus supercont2_0 genomic scaffold, whole genome shotgun sequence.